GGCCAACCAUUAGGUGAUGACUAUUUGAUGCAAGAUGGAUAUCUCUUCAAAAAUGAUUGUUUGUGCAUUCCAAGAAGUUCUCUACGUGACAAGCUGGUUAGAGAGCUCCAUUCAAGUGAUCUUAGUGGCCAUCUUGGACGGGAUAAGACUAUCGCUAACCUGGAAGCUCGCUACUUUUGGCCACAACUAAAGACAGAUGUUGGAAAGUUCGUUCAACGGUGCCCCGUAUGUCAGACCUGCAAAGGCCAAGUCCAUAACACAGGGUUAUACAUGCCUUUGCAUGUUCCUGUUGCUCCAUGGGAGGACAUUUCUAUGGACUUCGUCUUGGGCUUGCCAAGAACAAGACGAGGAAGUGAUGCUGUAUUUGUGGUCGUGGAUAGAUUCUCUAAGAUGGCUCAUUUC
rnacentral:rRNA from 1 species